rnacentral:rRNA from 1 species
GACGAACGCUGGCGGCGUGCCUAAUACAUGCAAGUCGAACGCACUCUCGUUUAGAUUGAAGGAGUUUGCUCCUGAUUGAUAAACAUUUGAGUGAGUGGCGGACGGGUGAGUAACACGUGGGUAACCUGCCCUAAAGUGGGGGAUAACAUUUGGAAACAGAUGCUAAUACCGCAUAAAACCUAACACCGCAUGGUGUAGGGUUGAAAGAUGGUUUCGGCUAUCACUUUAGGAUGGACCCGCGGUGCAUUAGUUAGUUGGUGAGGUAAAGGCUCACCAAGACCGUGAUGCAUAGCCGACCUGAGAGGGUAAUCGGCCACACUGGGACUGAGACACGGCCCAGACUCCUACGGGAGGCAGCAGUAGGGAAUCUUCCACAAUGGACGAAAGUCUGAUGGAGCAACGCCGCGUGAGUGAAGAAGGUUUGCGGAUCGUAAAACUCUGUUGUUGGAGAAGAAUGUAUCUGAUAGUAACUGAUCAGGUAGUGACGGGAUCCAACCAGAAAGCCACGGCUAACUACGU